rnacentral:tRNA from 2 species
GCCCAGAUAGCUCAGUUGGUAGAGCAGUGGACUGAAAAUCCUCGUGUCGCUGGUUCGAUUCCGGCUCUGGGCACCA